AUUACAACUGGAACAUCACAGGAGGUUGGCAAGGAGAGGCAGCUGUGCAGACCGAGACUUCACUGCCAUCACUACGAGACCACCGGUGAAUGAACGACAAGAGAAGGAAAGACUUCUGGUCAUACCUUCAGCUUCUUGUCCUGCUGAUCACAUUUAAAGAGGAGAGAAAAUGUUCCUGCCCCAGAGACCUCUGCAGAUGGUUACAUUUUUGGCGAUCUUUUUUCUUGCCUGUUUUGCAACGCGUCAAAGCACUGAAAAUAGAAGAGCAGUGACGGAGCACCAGCUCAUGCAUGAUAAGGCGAGGGCAUUUCAAGGGCUGAAGCGCCUGCUGUGGCUCCACAAUGCCCUAGGUAGUGUGCACACAGCCAGCAGCAGGGAUAUUUCCCUUUCAAAUGCCAUAUGGGAUUCACAGAAGUCCAGAGAUCCCUCAGAUCUCUACAACAGCAUCAGCAGAGACGAGACUUCAAACCCGAUGAAGCAGCUCCUGGAACUGAUAGAAGAUGAGCAAGGCUUCCCCCUACUGAGGAAGCAGUAUUUGCUGCAGAAUCCAAAGACCCCAGAGGGUAACUGGAACCCACAAGACGUUUUUGAUCUCCUUCAAAUCAAAGAGUUUGGCAGAAGGAGAAAUCAUAGCAACCAGCCACAGAACUUUUCCCACUAGCCUCCAUGCAGCUCAGCCUGUGCACUGCUUUAGAUAUGUGAUGUUUUAAGGAAAAGCACUCAUGCAAAGGUGAACUGCAAAAGAAAAGUAGUGUCUGUUUGUUCCAUUACCUGUUUGUGAGUGUCGAACAGAGAGCCUUUUACAGACCUGGCUCCCCUCCCUAGCAGGCAGUCUGAGUAUCAUGGCUGUGAGAUGCAGUGAUUUUUAAGAGGCCAGAAAUCUUGCUUUUCAAGGCAAGGCCCUUCCUGUCUGUUAGCAGUACAUCACAGGGCUGUGGCAGACCUCUGCAGCCCAGGCAAAGCAGGAAGUUUGGUUCACUAAUCUGCACGCUCACGGCUUCACUUGAAGUGUUCUGUUUUGUCUUCUAAGAAAGCCAUUACCUCCCAAUAAUGUUUUCUUCUGUUUCACACCUGCCCACAGCUCUGCCCCUGCUCUGCAGUAGUGAUGAUUCUCCUCAUACUUUAGGUCCAAAGGUGUUUUUUUUUUUUUAAUCUACCUCAUCUUUCAGGUUUUCCUUCAGAAUAGCAAACUUUUGCAAUGCCACAGAGGCAGCAGAUCCACCACUGCCCACCUAAGCAUGACCCGUUACCCUCCUGCUGGUGAGAAAGAUGAGAAUCACCCUCCAGACUCCCCAUUCAAGCCUUUUAUUUCAAGGAUUUCCACCUUUUCUGUGAGCCCACGCAGUGUACUGCAUUUUCUGAGCAGAAAACCAACUUCCUCAUGUUUCCUCCAACAGAAACAGACCGCUCACGAUUCAGUUUUGUUAUUCACCUUAAGGCUGAUCAGCUCCAGGCAAAGCAACGUCUGAUUUAACUGCAAAAUUGGCCUUUCAGAAAUGCAACCUGUGAGUUGUGAUAUGAAUAUAUCUGCAUUGCCAUCACGUAGGGACCACGUGUGGCAGUUUAAAUCCUGACACUCCUCUGCUGCUGACAGAUUUCAUGUGCAAAGGGUGCCCUUCAGUGCUAGAUCCAAACCCCAGUAACUCGGUGUUGUAAUAAAAGCGUUUCCACCCC
rnacentral:lncRNA from 7 species